GCUGACGUAGCUCAUUCGGCAGAGCACAACGCUUAUAACGUUGAGGUAGUGAGUUCGAACCUCACCGUCAGCA
rnacentral:tRNA from 1 species